CUUCAUAAAGUGAAUCACCCUCAUAUAAUUUUGGGAAUAUGGCCCAAAAGUCUCUACCCAAUAACCGUAAAUUAUUGGACUAUGAGGGAAAGGAUCGUAUUG
rfam:Geobacillus sp. WCH70, complete genome.